CACAGAGUUAGCCAAUGCUUAUUCCUCAGAUACCGUCAUUGUUUCUUCUCCGAGAGAAGAAGUUGACGACCUGUAGGCCUUCCACCUCCACGCGGCAUUGCUCCGUCAGGCUUUCGCCCAUUGCGGAAAAUUCCCCACUGCUGCCUCCCGUAGGAGUCUGGGCCGUGUCUCAGUCCCCGUGUGGCUGAUCAUCCUCUCGGACCAGCUACUGAUCAUCGCCUUGGUAAGCUAUUACCUCACCAACUAGCUAAUCAGACACGAGCCUCUCCUUGGGCGGUAUUUCUCCUUUUGCUCCUCAGCCUAGUGGGGUAUUAGCAACCGUUUCCAGUUGUUCGUUCCCCUCCCGAAGGGCAGGUUCUUACGCGUUACCUCUACCCGUUCGCCACUGGAAACCACCACUUCCCGUUCGACUUGCAUGUGUUAAGCAUCGCCGCCGGCGUUCAUCCGUGAGCCAGGACUACAACUCU
rnacentral:rRNA from 1 species